rnacentral:lncRNA from 1 species
AUGUGGGCGCUGUGGAGCACAGGCGCAGGGAUGCCAGCACCACCGAGCACCAUGCGGAAAAGCAGGCACUGCGGGGCAGGGGGCACGGAUGCAGCGCUGCAGAGCAGGGCACUGCAGGCACCACGGAGCAGGACACAGGGACCCAGGCACCGCAGAGCAGGGCGCAGGGCUGCAGGCACCACGGAGCAAGGCUUUGGGCACCGCAGACCAAGGCAUAGGGACGCAGGGCACCACGGAGCAGGGCGCAGAGCUGCGGGCACCGUGAGGCAGGGCAAAGCGGGCACCGUGGAGCAGGGCGCAGGGACCUGGGCAUUGCAAAGUGGGGCACAGGGAGCUGGGUACCGUGGAGCAGGAUGCAAGGACCUGGGCACCACGAAGCAAGGGGUAGGGAUAUGGGCACCGUGGAGCGGGGUGCAGGGACAUGGGCACCUCGGGGCAGGAUGCAGGACAUGGCAGAUCAGGGCGCAGGGACAUGGGCACCACGGAGCUGGGUGCAGGGACAUGGCACGGUGGAGCGGGGCUCAGGGACAUGGCAGAUCGGGGUGCAGGGACAUGGCAUGGCAGAAGGGGGCACAGGACACAGCAGAUCGGGACACAGGGACAUGGGCAUUGCAGAGCAGGGCACUUGGCAUGGCGGAACAGGGCACUGGGACAUGGGCACCGCGGAGCAGGGCGCGGGGAGACGGCACGGCAGACCGGGGCGCAGGGACACGGCACGGCGGAGCGGGGUGCAAGGACAUAGCACAGCAGAGCGGGGCGCAGGGACACGGCAGAUCGGGGUGCAGGGACAUUGGCACUGCAGAGCAGGGCAGAGGGCACGGCAGAACCGGGUGCAAGGACACGGCACAGCGGAAGGGGGUGCAGGGACAUGGCAGAUCGGGGUGCAAGGACACGGCACGGCGGAGGGGGGAGAGGAUAUGGGCACGGCGGAGCAGGGUGCAGGGACACGGCAGAUCGGGGCGCAGGGUCAUGGCACGGUGGAGCGGGGUGCAGGGACACGGCGGAGCGGGGUGC